GUUCAGUUUAAAACUGACAUGACACUCCAGCCUCGCAGGAAGUAAAGAGGUCUGGUCAUGUGACCUUUCACUCUAGAUACAUGAAAUUGAUAUUGCUUAGAGUAGACAAUCUAUUAUUUGACUUAAAAACUUCAAUCAGUUGCUAAAAGUCAAAACAAUUCUUAUAGAAGUACAGAAGUUAGGAAAAAUGUCUGGCAACAAUUGUUGCCGGUGGUAUUAAAUGCACUGCACUGAGAAAUUGAAGAUCUGGGGUUUAGAUGAGAUGUGUGUUGCUUUAGCAUUAGCACUCAGAGAUUUAUUUAUUAUUUUUUUUUUUUCACAGAUUCAGAAAAUUGAUAUGGACUUGUGAAUACUAUAAAUUUAUGUUGGUAUGUUGCACAUGAAAUUUUUCUGUAGAAUUUACUGGUAACAAAAAGAGUAAGAAACUGAUUUAUAUAAGUGAACAGAAGACAAAUUCCAUUGAAAAUGUUUUGUCUUUAACAACGGCAUCUGCAGGGCCUCCUGUGAAACAGUGAUAACCUCGAGAGCCCUUGAUGUCCCUUUGGAUGUCUGUGUUGUGUCACUUUAAGAAGAUGAAGAUGUCGAGAUUUGAUGUUGUAUGAAAGUAAUAACCCCCUCUUCCUAAUGGGUGUCAGUGACAUGGCAAACAAGCUCAGAGCUGUUUGUGAAGCGUUAAUGUUGGUUGUUUUCCUCUCACAGCAGGUCAUCACUCGCUUAUCCCAGACAGAUCUUCAUAUCUUCUUCUACCUCCUAUCUGUUUACUGUUGUGUUGAAAUCACUAUGUGUCUUUAUCUUACACCCCUCAUUUGCCAUUGUUUCUUUUACCGCUGUUGCCCGGAGCUAAUGCCACUGUUUAAAUCCAAAGUUGAGAUUUCUGUAGGUUUCAAAAGACUCUAGUGUUACGCUUGACCACCCUAUGAAAACUGAAACCUAGAACACACACACACACACACACACACGCCCACACGCACA